rnacentral:miRNA from 1 species
CCAUUUUUUCGAAAUUAGACC